rnacentral:rRNA from 1 species
GACAGAGGGUGCAAACGUUGUUCGGAAUUACUGGGCGUAAAGCGAGUGUAGGCGGUUUCCUAAGUCAGGUGUGAAAGCCCCGGGCUCAACCCGGGAAGUGCACUUGAAACUGGGAGGCUAGAGUAUCGGAGAGGUUGGUGGAAUUCUCGGUGUAGAGGUGAAAUUCGUAGAUAUCGAGAGGAACACCGGUGGCGAAGGCGGCCAACUGGACGAAUACUGACGCUGAGACUCGAAAGCGUGGGAGCAAACAGG